UUAGCUGAGAGGUGGUGCAUGGCCGUCGUCAGUUCGUACUGUGAAGCAUCCUGUUAAGUCAGGCAACGAGCGAGACCCACGUCCACAGUUGCCAGCAUACCCCUCCGGGGUGAUGGGUACACUGUGGAGACCGCCGCUGCUAAAGCGGAGGAAGGAGUGGGCAACGGUAGGUCAGUAUGCCCCGAAUCUCCCGGGCUACACGCGGGCUACAAUGGUUGGUACAAUGGGCAUCUACCCCGAAAGGGGAAGGAAAUCUCUUAAAGCCAAUCGUAGUUCGGAUUGAGGGCUGCAACUCGCCCUCAUGAAGCUGGAAUCCGUAGUAAUCGCGUUUCAACAGAACGCGGUGAAUACGUCCCUGCUUCUU
rnacentral:rRNA from 1 species